GCAGAGAAGACAGUACUGAAUGCUGGGAGGAAGAAGGGAGGAGUCAGGAGACGCCAUGGAUCUCCCCUGCCAGAAUAAGACUGAAACUUAGCCGACUCUGCUUCCUUCUCUUGUACAAGGAAAAAUAUGUUGAUGAGCUCAAAGCAACAGAUACUUUUUUCCAUCCUGAAGUCAUGCCCUGGCUCACAGAACCAUGCUGGUCCUCUCCCCUUUGCAACUCCAGCACCUGUGGUCCAGCAUCUGCCCCAAAACGUGG